rnacentral:rRNA from 1 species
AGGACGAACGCUAGCGGCGUGUCUGAAACAUGCAAGUCGAACGGAGCAGCAAUGCUCAGUGGCGAACGGGUGCGUAACACGUAAAGAACCUGUCCUUUAGCGGGGGAUAGCCCUGGGAAACUGGGGGUAAUACCGCAUAAGCAGCACUAUACGCAUGUAUAGAGCUGGAAAGGCAUCGUAAGAUGACACUGAAGGAGGGCUUUGCGGCCUAUCAGGUAGUUGGUGGGGUAACGGCCCACCAAGCCGAAGACGGGUAGCUGGU